rnacentral:lncRNA from 1 species
GAAACUUAGCUAGAUGAGCCCAGCCAAUUCCCACAUAAAGAACAAAUAAAUGUUUGGUAUCAUUUUAAGUCACUAUUUGGGAGUGGUUUGUUACACACUCCUUUAUGGGAAAAAAAAAAUCUAGAACACACAUGUUCUCUACAUAUUCUCUUUAUGAAGCCAGCCCUGGUGAUCCAGUAGUUAAGAUCCGAUGGUCUCACCACCAUGUCUGGGGUUUGUUUCCUGGUCAGGGAACCACACCACCUGUCUGUUGGUUGUCAUUCCGUGGCGGCUGCGUGUUGCUGAGAUGCUGAAAGCUAUGCCACUGGGAUUUCAAAUACCAGCUGGGUCACCCAUGGUGGACAGGUUUCAGCAGAGCUUCCAGACUAAGACAGACUAGGAAGAAGGACCUGGCUAACCACUUCCAGAAAAAUUGGCCAUGAGAACCCUAUGAAUAGCAGCAGAGCACUGUCUGAUAUAGCGCUGGAAGGUGAGAGGAUGGUGCAAAAAGACCGGGCAGGGUUCUACUCUGAUGUACCCAGGGUCACUAGAAGCCGGAAUCCACUCCACCGCUCUAACGAGGAGGCUUUACCAACAAUGAAAUUUGAUCUCCUUUAUCUAACCCCUCUUUCUUAUUUCUCAAUUGCUUCCAAACACAGGAAGGAAAAAUUUAUUUAGUCACCCCCUAAAACUCCAACUGCAUCCACCUAAUACAAGAAUUUCUCCUGCCCUACUCUGGGGGCAUGGAUGGGCCUUAGGUCUCUCUGCUUGACUCUCUCUAGUGAUCAGAUAUGUCUCCCAAAACAUUCAAAUUAGAAGGGCUCUUUCUUGAAAUCUUCUUUCUUAAGUUGGUUGAAAAACCUUUAAAGCAGUGCUGAACAAAUCUGCUCCAUCUUUUACACGCACAUCUUUCAAACCUUCCACGGCUGACAUCACAUGUAUCUCUAGGUCAUCUCAGCUUUCUUCGUGAUUUUUCCUUCUAUAAGAGUUGCAAACGGUGCAGUGCAUCAAACUCGAGUGUGCAUCAGAAUCAUCUGGAGGGGUUGUUACAACAUAGGUUCCUGGGCCCCAUCCCCAGAGCUUCUGAUCCAGUAGGCUUGGGGUCAGAGAAUUUUCAUAUCUAACAGGUUCCGAGUGUUGCGGAUGCUGUGGUCCAGGGACUACUCUGAGGACCACUGAGCUUGAGAAACCAAAUGUAUAGGAUGGCAGAAAGAGUCCUCAUGCUGCCUGUGCUGUCUUCUAAUAAAAUACAAAAGUCCCUAAUAAAACAAAGAUCUCCAAGAAAAACUAAGGUGCCUGCCUAUAUCACACAGUUGUGUGGAUCGACAGUAGAACAACAUUAAGUGUUUCGCAAACUGUCUGGGGUUAUGCAGACAGGAAAUAUGGCUUGAAGAGAUUGCCUGUGGACUUCAUCUAAGUGGUAAUAUCCUUUUUCAAAGCGACACGAGAAUCAAACAGAAUAUGACAGCUGAAGACUACAGCAGAAUCCACUAACCCAUUUCCUGUUUGUUUCCUUUACAGAUUCUCCUGCUUUCCAGAAGGUCUUAUAGCCUGGAAGUAAAAGCAAAAGGGGCUUUCACCCCCACACCCAAGGCUGCUUUGUUAUGCGGCUCCUGAAUAAGAAUAAACAAUGUCGAGCAUUCAAGUAUCACAACGUCCACCUGCUGGGUGCUACCGGCAGCUGCUCUCAAAGCUAGUCCAGACACACGGGUAAGUCUGUCUCCCUGUCGAACACCAGGGGGAAGGUCACAUGCAAUAGCCAGGACUUAGCCCUGCUCACCUCCAGGCAUUCCCCAGACCACAUCAUCAAACCUGCUCAAAUACAGUCGUGUGCCAAGAAACAGUCAACUUCAAAGCGUGUGGCUCUGAGCCUAAGAGUCUGCAUUUCCCUAGCAAUUACAUUUUCUUAUCUACACACCAAGAAUAG